rnacentral:rRNA from 1 species
GAUGAACGCUGGCGGCGUGCCUAAUACAUGCAAGUCGAGCGAACAGGCGAGGAGCUUGCUCCUCUGACGUUAGCGGCGGACGGGUGAGUAACACGUGGAUAACCUACCUAUAAGACUGGGAUAACUUCGGGAAACCGGAGCUAAUACCGGAUAAUAUAUUGAACCGCAUGGUUCAAUAGUGAAAGACGGUUUUGCUGUCACUUAUAGAUGGAUCCGCGCCGCAUUAGCUAGUUGGUAAGGUAACGGCUUACCAAGGCAACGAUGCGUAGCCAACCUGAGAGGGUGAUCGGCCACACUGGAACUGAGACACGGUCCAGACUCCUACGGGAGGCAGCAGUAGGGAAUCUUCCGCAAUGGGCGAAAGCCUGACGGAGCAACGCCGCGUGAGUGAUGAAGGUCUUCGGAUCGUAAAACUCUGUUAUUAGGGAAGAACAAAUGUGUAAGUAACUAUGCACGUCUUGACGGUACCUAAUCAGAAAGCCACGGCUAACUACGUG